UAGGGAAUCUUCGGCAAUGGGGGCAACCCUGACCGAGCAACGCCGCGUGAGUGAAGAAGGUUUUCGGAUCGUAAAGCUCUGUUGUAAGAGAAGAACGUGUGUGAGAGUGGAAAGUUCACACAGUGACGGUAACUUACCAGAAAGGGACGGCUACUACGUGCCAGCAGCCGCGGUAAUACGUAGGUCCCGAGCGUUGUCCGGAUUUAUUGGGCGUAAAGCGAGCGCAGGCGGUUUAAUAAGUCUGAAGUUAAAGGCAGUGGCUUAACCAUUGUUCGCUUUGGAAACUGUUAAACUUGAGGGCAGAAGGGGAGAGUGGAAUUCCAUGUGUAGCGGUGAAAUGCGUAGAGAGAUGGGGGAACACCGGUGGCGAAAGCGGCUCUCUGGUCUGUAACUGACGCUGAGGCUCGAAAGCGUGGGGAGCGAACAGG
rnacentral:rRNA from 1 species